AGGCUUUGUAGCCCGGGACAUUUCCCCAAGGUCCUCCCUGCAGGGCUGUUCCGUGGGGGUAUCAUCCACAGGGAUGUUGACCUCAUUAAUGCCCGGGUUCAGGGUUAGGGGUUGGUACUGGGGUGAAGGGCUUAAGGCUCCCUCUCAGAAGGCUUCCUGUCCACUCAAACUGCCUUUUUGUUCUCCAGGUUCCCACUGUGGCUGUCGAAGUUGCAAAGGACACUUGGCUCCUGCAAUCCAUCAGUGGUCCAGCAUCUGUUUGUUGGGGAGUCCCAGAUGAUACAACAUAGGUCCAGCAUCAGUAUAAUGAGGGGGACCCAGAUGAUAUGAUACAGCUUCUCGCUGUGGCUGGGGAAGUUCUAAAGGACACUUGGCUCCUGCAAUCCAUCAGUGGUGUGUCCAGCAUCACUUUACUGAAGAGUCCCAGCUAACAAUACAAGUGAAAGAGCUGAGUACAUGUACCUAAUUUCUGUGGGGAGCACCAUCAGACCAAUCACUCCACGCGGUGCGCUGAGGGAAAUCUUGGAAAUAGGACCACCUCAAUGAUAUCAUGGCCAGUGAGAAGUAAUUUAACUUGGUCUGUCAUCCGCUCCGCAACAAUAAUUCCCUUCUCUCACAGACUCCAAUGCCUAUUUCCAUGACCGUCUGUUCUAGAUUUAGAGGAGGCAACUUCCAGUGCUUAAUAAUUUACCCUGCAUAAU